CAGGACGAACGCUGGCGGCGUAGCCUAAUACAUGCAAGUCGAACGGUCUUUCUAUGGAAGCUUGCUUCCACUGAGAAGAUAGUGGCGAACGGGUGAGUAACACGUGGGGUAACCUGCCCAUAAGAGGGGGGAUAACAUCCGGAAACGGGUGCUAAUACCGCAUAGUUUUCUUGAUCGCAUGAUCGGGAAAGGAAAGACGGCCUUUGUGCUGUCGCUUAUGGAUGGACCCGCGGCGUAUUAGUUAGUUGGUGAGGUAAUGGCUCACCAAGACGAUGAUACGUAGCCGACCUGAGAGGGUGAUCGGCCACAUUGGGACUGAGACACGGCCCAAACUCCUACGGGAGGCAGCAGUAGGGAAUCUUCCGCAAUGGACGAAAGUCUGACGGAGCAACGCCGCGUGAGUGAAGAAAAGGUUUUCGGAUCGUAAAACUCUGUUGUCAGAGAAGAACAAGUUGGAGAGUAACUGCUCCAGCCUUGACGGUAUCUGACCAGAAAGCCACGGCUAACUACGUGCCAGCCGCCGC
rnacentral:rRNA from 1 species